GCGAACACAAACCUAGAACUCUUAGGUAUAUUAUCAUAUUGCAUCUGAGUUUAUAAUAUGUUUUGUUAUCAUAACUGAUAUUUAAACUCGCAGAUGUAGUUGGGCAAAUCCGUUCUGUCCAAGGCUCUGACCUUAGCAAAGAAACAACUCGAGUCAUUAUCCGUCUCCUCAUUGAUUCGUAAGAAACAAUCAACACACAAUUCCCUUUAUACUAUUAUCUAUAUUGUGCUAACAUCAAUAAUAAUAAAUAUUUCCUACUCAAAUUCUGUGGUCGUCAAUUUAUCUCCCUUACUUAUCAAACUAAUUUUACACAAAUAUUUAUUUUACAGCUUAAACGAAACCACAACAACCCAAACAAUCAAAACAUCAAAAACUAGAAUUCCAAAAAAGACGAAUCAUUAAUGAUCACCUCUUUUUUUUUGUCAAAUCUUAGAAAUAAACUUCAAAACAAAUAUGCCAAAUCAAUCACCUCAACUAAAACUCAACGACACAUACAUCGAGUCAACUAAACAAAUACAAACUACACGGCCAGCUAUUUAACAAUUUACAAACUU
rnacentral:lncRNA from 1 species